rnacentral:rRNA from 1 species
AUGACCCGACGCCCGAGCGCCUCCUGCUGCGAGCUCCACCAGGACCACAUCGCCGCCCCGCCUCCAAGUUCGCUGCUGCCAAGCGCCGCCGUGGCCAUGCCCGACGCCGCCAGCAGGGCCCCGUUCCCGUCUCCGGCGCCUCAAGACCCAUCCCCGAGACCUCUGCUCGAGCAGGAGCUUCGCCUCCUUGCUUCACGCCAAGGCCGACGCCGGCCACUUCACCUUCGCCUCGUGCUGCCGGCGCACCGCCGGACCUCCGCCUCGCCCCAUCCAUCACGCUGCCUGUUGGCCCCUCGUUUUUCCUCAGUGCCGAGAGGAUGCCAAGUACCACGACGUCGUUGCCCCUCAAGUUCGACUACAUGUAACAGCAAGUACCACUACGGCCGAAGACCUCGGACUUGUCAAGUACCCCUACACACGGAUACGCCAAGGUGGAUUACGCUCGAUGAUGUGACAAGUUCCUCCACCGAUGACUCAAUGGCUACAAAACGUGAACCACUACCGUCGACCCUCGAAGACCCCGUGGACGUCAAGUUCCGUGUCGUUGACCCCGAACCUCUAUGA